GCAACAUGGUGAAACCCUGUCUCUACUAAAAUACAAAAGAAAUUAGCCAGGUGUGGCGGCAUACCCCUGUAGUCACGGCUACUUGGGAGGCAGAGGCAGGAGAAUUGCUUGAACUCGGGAGGUGGAGGUUGCAGUGAGCUGAGAUUGCACCACUGUACUCCAGCACUCCAGCCUGGGCGACAGAGUGAGACUCUGUCUCUACAAAAAAAAAAAAAAAAAAAAGUAACCCAAGGGAGGGAGCUACCCUCUAGUCGGGCAGCUGAUACUGCUUCCUUGCAUGGAUACAUGGGAGGGAGACGUUAUAGAUUAAGAAAUGAUAGCAAGAUAAACAAAAUGAUUUGUUGGGUAUCUUUUACUUUACAUUUGUUAUUUGCAGAGGAGUGUUGUAUAUAUAGAUGUUAUUUUAUGUCACACUGCUUCAAUGAUACCUAUAUCCAUGUGUUUGUAUCCAUGUUUUUAUCCAUUCAACUGUAUUAAAAGGUGUUGGGACAGG
rnacentral:lncRNA from 1 species